rnacentral:lncRNA from 1 species
AUUUGCUGGGUGAGCAGAAGAGAGAGCCUGGGAGGAAAUAUCAGGGGCUGUGAACAAGAACCAGGGAGAAGAAACGUUCAGGGAGGAAAUAGCAGUCACAAGUGACAGAGAUUGGUGAAGAAAGGCAGCUUGGAAUUUGUAUAAAUGAAAGAGAGAGAUAGGAUGGGUGAAAAUGAUUGAUGGAAGAAUUUUGACCUACUGGGUUUGAGCGCUAAAUCUCACCAAUUGACGGGAUGCUUAGGGAUUUGCAACCGCCUCAUCGCUGCCCCCUACCUGCGCAUAUUCAAAACGUCUCUGCUAAAAGCUGUUAUUACCCACAGAGCCAACAGGGGCCGCUCGUUUACCCACAGACAGUCGGAAAAAAAUGGCCGCCGGAUCACAGAGAGCAAAAAGUACGUUCUCUUCAAGAAUUUCCGAGUUCUUCCCGCGGCCGUUCAGGAUGCUGCUUGCAGUUACCAACACUAUUCCCCUGCACUGAGUUGACCUGAGCUUCCCUGCCUACCUCCUGUCACGGAUGUCACCUUCUUUCACCCCUGUCCUGUCAAGGUUUUUGCUUUAAAAUGCUAUAGACCAAAGACGGGCAAAUCAACAGUCUUACACACAAAUCCUUUCGUUCUACUUGGCUACAAGCAGGGCUAAUCUUCCGAAGAGGAACCCCACUACUGCCUCCUUAUAAGGGAAAAACUCCUCUCAGAGGAACCCAGAACGCCCUGUGAUGACAGAGGUGAGGGGCCAGCGUGGCAGAAUGCAUCACCCUGUCUCCCCGCUUGCUUCUCUCUCCGUCGGAUUGCCAAAAAGGGAAGGGCACCUAGACUCCGAAAAGUGAUUGAAGCAAAGGGAGUUUAAACAACGCGCUCAGCCGCCUGGGUCUUGAACCCAGUGUUAAUGAGAGCAAAAACCUCUGCAUCCUCCACUGAGCUGUC